rnacentral:tRNA from 1 species
CCUGGUGGCUCAGAGGUUAAAGCGUCUGCCCGCAAUGCAGGAGACCAGGGUUCUAUCCCUGUGUCGGGA